rnacentral:misc_RNA from 1 species
GGAGAAUUGCCUCUCAACAAAUCACAUAGAUGUUACUUUCAUGGUAAACCUUAUAGUAUAAACAUAUGGUGAAGAUGGUGUAAAAGGAAUGACAUGAGAGUAAGACCAUAACAUUGAAUCCUUGAUGGUUAUCCUAACAUUUUCAUUUAUCACAAACACUUCAAGAUAAUGUUACAUAAACAUAGUUUUAACAACUCUACAUGCCAAAAUAAACUCAUCGACUCAACUACAAGCUGCUACUGUGCAUCAAGCAGCAAGCAGUUCAAGAUGAUCUCAUUUCAAAAAGAAUAGCAUCACUCUCACAUGAUCAACUAACCCCUUGAACUCAUGCAGAAUUUCUUCUCAUUAAUAUUCAAUCCCAAAGCUCAAAGCUAAUCACGAAGCAGAUAAUCACCUCAACACUGAAAACCUCAGCAACAGAAAAAAAAUUCCAGGAAAAACAUUGAUACCGCCUGCCAAGUUAGUGCUCCAAUAAUGAUUUCCAGUUAUCAAUUAUGGUAAAUAUUGUAGUAUUCUACAUCAGAACAAAAAAUUACAGACAACCCAAAAAAGCAAAAGAGGGAGAUAUUCAUUCCAGUACCACAGUAGCUCCCAAUUCUUUGAGCUUUUCAAGAAUGGGAUUGGCCUCCUCUUUAGUGACCCCCUUCUUCAAAAUCACAGGCACUUUCUCCACUAAAUCCUUAGCCUCCUUUAAACCCAAAUCUGUAAAAGUCCUAACUUCUUUUAUAAUCUUGAUCUUCGCCGCAGCAUCGAACUUCUCCAGCUUAAUGUUGUACGCCGUCUUCUCUGCCGCCGGCUUGCCCUCCGCCAUCGCGGAUCCAGGGGCAGCUGGGCCUGAUAAAACGGUACCAGAAAGAGCGGGGCCAUAUCAAUGGAGGCUCAUUUUGUGACGGAAAAGAAUAGCAUAGUCGUGCCUCUCGAGCUUGGUGAGGUUGAGGAGCUCGUCGGCAAUGCGCUCAAGUUGCGGGGUUCGAUUCCCGGAGGCGGAGGAGGUUGCAGAAGCAGUGCAGAGAGAUCGAAAGAUGGGUUUUGCAGAAAAGGUGAAGAAUCUGGUGAGGGAUUUGGAGCGCAUUUUGGUAUUGCUGUGGAGAUAUUCUGAGGGUAUAUUGGGUUUGUAUGGAAGACAUGUUGGAAGCAGCAGAUGGACCAGAGAUUCAGAGAAGCUUAGCUACGGUUCUAGACAGGUUGCGUUUUGAUAUUUCGCUCUUUUCAUUUUGUUGGAUUGGAUUUUAAUGUAGUUUCACAAAACUUAUGACUGCCCAAUAUAAAAAAACAGGGGAAAUUAAGAAAAAAAAUAUCCCUUAGUU